GGCUCUGUAUUCCAACGGCAGAGAAAGUCGGCUUAAACCCGAUACAGUGUGAGUUCGAAUCUCACCAGAGCUA
rnacentral:tRNA from 1 species